AGUCUACAUCUUUCACGCAUGCUGGAUGCUGCCUGCCCUCGAACAUCAGACUCCAACUUCUUCAGUUUUGGGACUUGGACUGGCUCUCCUUGCCCCUUGGCUUGUAGACAGCCUAUUGUGAGACCUUGCGAUCAUGUAUUCUCAACUUUUGAAACCCAUCUGUGUUCAUGAUCUAAGAAGUUAAAGCUCUCCCUGUGGACUAUGCAACAUCACCCCCUGUGGGAUCUUUUCCCUAUAAGAGAAACAUGUAGCUGCAUAAACUGACAAUGCUGACAGAACAGAAAUGGCAUUUGAAGAGGAGAAAAGAACUUCAGUGGUCAGAGACGGAGUCUCCCUCUGUCGCCCAGGCUGGAGUGCAGUGGCACGAUCUCGGCUCAUUGCAACCUCCACUUCCCAGGUUCAAAUGAUUCUCCUGCCUCAGCCUCCCGAGUAGCUGGGAAUACAGGUAUGCUUGGAUCUGUCUUUUGGUCACUUGAAGAUUCCUAACU
rnacentral:lncRNA from 1 species